rnacentral:snoRNA from 1 species
UUUAAUAAUGAUGAGCACAAGGGACUUAAUACUGAUAUUAUGAUGUUACCUUAUCAUUUCUGAAUUGU